rnacentral:rRNA from 1 species
AAAACAUUGCCAGUNUUUNCGCGAAAGGGGCUUCGGCCCCGAGUAGAGUGGCGAAAGGGCGAGGAAUACGUUUCUACGUACCCCGAGGUCAGGAUAGUUCAGGAAACCUGGGGUAAUACCUGAUGUGGUGCUUCNGCAUCAAAGGCUUGCCGCCUCGGGAGCGGGGAACGUCCUAUCAGGUUGUUGGUGAGGUAAUGGCUCACCAAGCCUUAGACGGGUAGCGGGUGUGAGAGCAUGACCCGCCGCAUCGGGACUGAGACACUGCCCGGACUCCUACGGGAGGCUGCAGUAACGAAUCUUCCGCAAUGCGCGAAAGCGUGACGGAGCAAUGCCGCGUGCAGGAUGAAGCCCCUCGGGGUGUAAACUGCUGUCAGGGUUUAGCAACACAAUGAGCAGACCCAAAGGAAGGGCCGGCUAACUUCGUGCCAGCAGCCGCGGUAAUACGAAGGGCCCGAGCGUUAUUCGGAAUCACUGGGCUUAAAGCGUACGUAGGCGGAUAUGUAGGCGCUGUGUGAAAUCCCUCGGCUCAACCGAGGAACUGCAUGGCGAACCACAUGUCUUGAGGCAAGUAGAGGCUGUCGGAACGAUAGGUGGAGUGGUGAAAUGCGUUGAUAUCUAUCGGAACGCCGGAGGUGAAGACAGGCAGCUGGGCUUGUUCUGACGCUCAUGUACGAAAGCGUGGGGAGCGAACGU